AGAGUUUGAUCAUGGCUCAGAACGAACGCUGGCGGCAGGCUUAACACAUGCAAGUCGAGCGAGGUCUUCGGGCCUAGCGGCGGACGGGUUAGUAACGCGUGGGAACGUGCCCUUCACUACGGAAUAGUCCCGGGAAACUGGGUUUAAUACCGUAUACGCCCUUCGGGGGAAAGAAUUUCGGUGAAGGAUCGGCCCGCGUCUGAUUAGGUAGUUGGUGGGGUAAUGGCCUACCAAGCCUACGAUCAGUAGCUGGUUUUAGAGGAUGAUCAGCAACACUGGGACUGAGACACGGCCCAGACUCCUACGGGAGGCAGCAGUGGGGAAUCUUAGACAAUGGGCGCAAGCCUGAUCUAGCCAUGCCGCGUGAGUGAUGAAGGCCUUAGGGUCGUAAAGCUCUUUCGCUGGGGAAGAUAAUGACGGUACCCAGUAAAGAAACCCCGGCUAACUCCGUGCCAGCAGCCGCGGUAAUACGGAGGGGGUUAGCGUUGUUCGGAAUUACUGGGCGUAAAGCGCGCGUAGGCGGACCAGAAAGUUGGGGGUGAAAUCCCGGGGCUCAACCCCGGAACGGCCUCCAAAACUCCUGGUCUUGAGUUCGAGAGAGGUGAGUGGAAUUCCGAGUGUAGAGGUGAAAUUCGUAGAUAUUCGGAGGAACACCAGUGGCGAAGGCGACUCACUGGCUCGAUACUGACGCUGAGGUGCGAAAGUGUGGGGAGCAAACAGGAUUAGAUACCCUGGUAGUCCACACCGUAAACGAUGAAUGCCAGUCGUCGGG
rnacentral:rRNA from 1 species